GGCCAGUUCAUUCUAGCAAUUACCAGGAACCUGACCCAUCCUACCCUCAACCUGUCAUCUGUACAUGAAAGAUGGACAAGAAGCUGAGUGCAGGCCUAAGCUCAUCAAAGGAACUUGUAGCCUUCCGCUUCCCAAUUACCUCUUGUGGUUCAACCCCAGCAGGAGGAGACUGGAAGCUUUGCGUAUGAAACCGACAUCUUGGGGAAGAGGAUGAUUCAGACAGGGCCACAGGGCUCAAUAACCAGGGACAGCACCUUCAGCCUGCAAGUACAAGGGGGAGCAUGAGGCUGGCUUGCAGUCUCCUGGUGGAUGGGUAAGGACUCUGAAUGGAAAGCCCAGCCUUGAACUGCAUGGAUUUAAGAGGAUAUUUUGACUGAACAGUGUCAGAUUU